CUUCCAGCUCGUGCGUGCCUACAAAACUGGAACACUGGACAUCUUCAGCUCGAGAGUGUCAAACUGGACACACUGCCGGGGCGUGCGAGAAGAAAUCAAUGUUCUGACUCGGGGUAUCGGUGAAGAGGACACCACAACAUUUCUGCCUCAGAGCCUUUGUUCCCGUGAUGAUAGUCAAGAUUUUUCUAGCAGAUCUUGUCACGCCAUCCUGACAACGAAUCCAGCCUACACUUCGAUCACAACCCUAUGAACCUAUCUCGACGUGAUGUUUGCUUGAAUAAAGGAAAAAUAGGUACACAAGGGGGCAAGCUGGUGUGACGCUGAACUUCUGUCUACUUGGUUUCUCUCAAGCUCGAGAAGUACUACAACCGAGAUACGGAAAUGUCACCCUAUAAGAAAUCUACUGCCAGCUAUCCGCUGGUUUGCAGGCACUGGGGAUAAAGACGGUGACCAGG